rnacentral:rRNA from 1 species
UACGGGGGGGCAAGCGUUGUUCGGAAUUACUGGGCGUAAAGGGCUCGUAGGUGGCCAACUAAGUCGGACGUGAAAUCCCUCAGCUUAACUGGGGAACUGCGUCCGAUACUGGAUGGCUUGAGUUUGGGAGAGGGAUGCGGAAUUCCAGGUGUAGCGGUGAAAUGCGUAGAUAUCUGGAGGAACACCGGUGGCGAAGGCGGCUCACUGGCCCGGUACUGACGCUGAGGCACGGAAAGCGUGGGGAGCAAACAGG